AGAGCUACCAUGCAAGUCUACUUGAUCCUUCGGGUGAAGGUGGCGGACGGGUGAGUAACGCGUAAAGAACUUGCCUUACAGACUGGGACAACAUUUGGAAACGAAUGCUAAUACCGGAUAUUAUGACUGAGUCGCAUGAUUUGGUUAUGAAAGCUAUAUGCGCUGUGAGAGAGCUUUGCGUCCCAUUAGUUAGUUGGUGAGGUAACGGCUCACCAAGACGAUGAUGGGUAGCCGGCCUGAGAGGGUGAACGGCCACAAGGGGACUGAGACACGGCCCUUACUCCUACGGGAGGCAGCAGUGGGGAAUAUUGGACAAUGGACCAAAAGUCUGAUCCAGCAAUUCUGUGUGCACGAUGAAGUUUUUCGGAAUGUAAAGUGCUUUCAGUUGGGAAGAAGUCAGUGACGGUACCAACAGAAGAAGCGACGGCUAAAUACGUGCCAGCAGCCGCGGUAAUACGUAUGUCGCAAGCGUUAUCCCGGAUUUAUUGGGCGUAAAGCGCGUCUAGGCGGUUUAGUAAGUCUGAUGUGAAAAUGCGGGGCUCAACCCCGUAUUGCGUUGGAAACUGUUAAACUAGAGUACUGGAGAGGUAGGCGGAACUACAAGUGUAGAGGUGAAAUUCGUAGAUAUUUGUAGGAAUGCCGAUGGGGAAGCCAGCCUACUGGACAGAUACUGACGCUAAAGCGCGAAAGCGUGGGUAGCAAACAGGAUUAGAUACCCUGGUAGUCCACGCCGUAAACGAUGAUUACUAGGUGUUGGGGGUCGAACCUCAGCGCCCAAGCUAACGCGAUAAGUAAUCCGCCUGGGGAGUACGUACGCAAGUAUGAAACUCAAAGGAAUUGACGGGGACCCGCACAAGCGGUGGAGCAUGUGGUUUAAUUCCGACGCAACGCGAGGAACCUUACCAGCGUUUGACAUCCCAAGAAGUUAACAGAGAUGUUUUCGUGCCUCUCCGAAGGAACUUGGUGACAGGUGGUGCAUGGCUGUCGUCAGCUCGUGUCGUGAGAUGUUGGGUUAAGUCCCGCAACGAGCGCAACCCCUUUCGUAUGUUACCAUCAUUAAGUUGGGGACUCAUGCGAGACUGCCUGCGAUGAGCAGGAGGAAGGUGGGGAUGACGUCAAGUCAUCAUGCCCCUUAUACGCUGGGCUACACACGUGCUACAAUGGGUAGUACAGAGAGCUGCAAACCUGCGAGGGUAAGCUAAUCUCAUAAAACUAUUCUUAGUUCGGAUUGUACUCUGCAACUCGAGUACAUGAAGUUGGAAUCGCUAGUAAUCGCAAAUCAGCUAUGUUGCGGUGAAUACGUUCUCGGGUCUUGUACACACCGCCAANUCACACCACGAGAGUUGGUUGCACCUGAAGUAACAGGCCUAACCGUAAGGAGGGAUNUUCCGAGGUG
rnacentral:rRNA from 1 species